CAAGAGGCUCUGGUCGGCAGCGCCGCCUUCAAAUCAGGGCAGGUCCGUCCCCA
rnacentral:tRNA from 1 species